rnacentral:rRNA from 1 species
GACGAACGCUAGCGGCGUGCUUAACACAUGCAAGUCGAACGGUAAGGCUCCAGCUUGCUGGGGUACACGAGUGGCGAACGGGUGAGUAACACGUGGGUGACCUGCCCUGCACUUCGGGAUAAGCCUGGGAAACUGGGUCUAAUACCGGAUAGGACCGCACCGUGAGGGUGUGGUGGAAAGUUUUUUCGGUGUGGGAUGGGCCCGCGGCCUAUCAGCUUGUUGGUGGGGUAAUGGCCUACCAAGGCGGCGACGGGUAGCCGGCCUGAGAGGGUGGACGGCCACAUUGGGACUGAGACACGGCCCAGACUCCUACGGGAGGCAGCAGUGGGGAAUAUUGCACAAUGGGCGGAAGCCUGAUGCAGCGACGCCGCGUGGGGGAUGACGGCCUUCGGGUUGUAAACUCCUUUCACCAUCGACGAAGGGUUUCUGACGGUAGAUGGAGAAGAAGCACCGGCUAACUACGUGCCAGCAGCCGCGGUAAUACGUAGGGUGCGAGCGUUGUCCGGAAUUACUGGGCAUAAAGAGCUCGUAGGUGGUUUGUCGCGUCGUCUGUGAAAUUCCGGGGCUUAACUCCGGGCGUGCAGGCGAUACGGGCAUAACUUGAGUACUGUAGGGGAGACUGGAAUUCCUGGUGUAGCGGUGAAAUGCGCAGAUAUCAGGAGGAACACCGGUGGCGAAGGCGGGUCUCUGGGCAGUAACUGACGCUGAGGAGCGAAAGCAUGGGGAGCGAACAGGAUUAGAUACCCUGGUAGUCCAUGCCGUAAACGGUGGGCGCUAGGUGUGGGUUUCCUUCCACGGGAUCCGUGCCGUAGCUAACGCAUUAAGCGCCCCGCCUGGGGAGUACGGCCGCAAGGCUAAAACUCAAAGGAAUUGACGGGGGCCCGCACAAGCGGCGGAGCAUGUGGAUUAAUUCGAUGCAACGCGAAGAACCUUACCUGGGCUUGACAUAUACAGGAUCGCGCCAGAGAUGGUGUUUCCCUUGUGGCUUGUAUACAGGUGGUGCAUGGUUGUCGUCAGCUCGUGUCGUGAGAUGUUGGGUUAAGUCCCGCAACGAGCGCAACCCUUGUCUUAUGUUGCCAGCACGUUGUGGUGGGGACUCGUAAGAAACUGCCGGGGUUAACUCGGAGGAAGGUGGGGAUGACGUCAAAUCAUCAUGCCCCUUAUGUCCAGGGCUUCACACAUGCUACAAUGGUCGGUACAGUGGGUUGCCAGUCCGUGAGGGCGAGCUAAUCCCGCAAAGCCGGUCUCAGUUCGGAUCGGGGUCUGCAACUCGACCCCGUGAAGUCGGAGUCGCUAGUAAUCGCAGAUCAGCAACGCUGCGGUGAAUACGUUCCCGGGCCU